CGAGGAGCCGCGGCAGGCCGGUGGGCCGAGCCGGCCCGCCCUGCUGCUCGGCGCGGACACCUCGCCUCGGCUCCGCAGGGCAUGUCUGCCGCCUUGAGACCUCCUUCUCCUCCCGAGCAUCACGCCCGGGAGGGCGCCCGUUCACGCGGACACCUGACGCCCACGGGGACGACCCAGCCCCUCGGGAGCCUGUUUUCUCGCCAACGCGUUGGGCCGUGGGCCUCCUGGGCUCAGAGUGCAGGGAGGCCACCGUCAUUCCGCGCCGAGGGUAGCAGCUGCCGCCUGGAGCCCAGCCGAGCGCCGCCAGUGGGCUCUCGGACGCCCAAGGCUUGGAGACCUCUACGGCCCGGGCGACCCUGCCGGAUCCUGUGGAGUAAAGGAGCACCGGCAUCCACCUGGGGUACGAUGCGAAACGUAGGCCCUCCAGUGGGUUUGACGCAAGGGAGAAGAUACUGUCGGGCUGCGAUCCUUGGUUGACAACCCAGAGGUCCUACCUUAGGAAAGGAGGGCAGUUUGCCCGGACAAAAAGGCUUCCGGUUAGAACCUGCCUAGAUCGCUCCCCUGGAGUGUGUCGCUAAGGCCUGGACCUGACUGCACUGGCAGGCAGUAUGGAAGAAACCACUGGCCUGCCUGGAGGCGCCGGCCUGGCUCCGUCUGAAGAGCAUGCCUCUCUUGAUCUCAGGGUCAUGAGUUUGGGCCCCACCCCCCAUGGGAUGUAGAGGUCACUUAAAUCAAUAUCUGAAAAAUG